rnacentral:rRNA from 1 species
GUGCCAGCAGCCGCGGUAAUACUUAGGGUCCAAGCGUUAUCCGGAAUCACUGGGCGUAAAGCGUGCGUAGGUGGCUUGUUAAGUGUGAUGUUAAAUCGUGGGGCUCAACCCCGUCGAUGCAUCACAUACUGGCAGGCUAGAGGACGGCAGAGGCAAGUGGAAUUGGUAGUGUAGCAGUGAAAUGCGUAGAUAUUACCAGGAACACCAAUGCCGAAGGCAGCUUGCUGGGCCACUCCUGACACUGAGGCACGAAAGCGUGGGGAGCGGACAGGAUUAGAUACCCUGGUAGUCCACGCCCUAAACGAUGUCAACUAGUUGUCGGGUCUUCAUUGACUUGGUAACGAAGCUAACGCGUGAAGUUGACCGCCUGGGGAGUACGGUCGCAAGAUUAAAACUCAAAUGAAUUGACGG